GCACAAGCGGUGGAGCAUGUGGUUUAAUUCGACGCAACGCGAAGAACCUUACCAGGGCUUGACAUCCCCUGACCGCGUAUGAAAGUACGUUUUCACCCUCGGGUGACAGGGAGACAGGUGGUGCAUGGUUGUCGUCAGCUCGUGUCGUGAGACGUUGGGUUAAGUCCCGCAACGAGCGCAACCCUCGACCUUAGUUGCCAGCAUUCAGUUGGGCACUCUAAGGUGACUGCCGGCUAAAAGUCGGAGGAAGGUGGGGAUGACGUCAAAUCAUCAUGCCCCUUAUGACCUGGGCUACACACGUGCUACAAUGGGCGGUACAAAGGGUCGCGAACCCGCGAGGGGGAGCCAAUCCCAAAAAGCCGCUCUCAGUUCGGAUUGCAGGCUGCAACUCGCCUGCAUGAAGCCGGAAUCGCUAGUAAUCGCGGAUCAGCAUGCCGCGGUGAAUACGUUCCCGGGCCUU
rnacentral:rRNA from 1 species